rnacentral:rRNA from 1 species
GGUCUGCGGCGGACGGGUGUGUCCCGCGUGGGAACGUGCCUUCUGGUCUGGAAUAACCCUGGGAAACUAGGGCUAAUACCGGAUACGCCCUUUUGGGGAAAGGUUUACUGCCGGAAGAUCGGCCCGCGUCUGAUUAGCUCGUUGGUGGGGUAACGGCCUACCAAGGCGACGAUCAGUAGCUGGUCUGAGAGGAUGAUCAGCCACACUGGGACUGAGACGCGGCCCAGACUCCUACGGGAGGCAGCAGUGGG